rnacentral:tRNA from 1 species
GGAUUGUGGCUCAGUGGUAGAGCACUUGCCUAGCAUGUGGGUGAGACCCUGGGUUCGAUCCUCAGCACCA